rnacentral:rRNA from 1 species
AGAGUUUGAUCCUGGCUCAGAACGAACGCUGGCGGCGUGCUUAACACAUGCAAGUCGAGUGCGCGUCUGUAGCAAUACAGAUGGCGCACGGCGCACGGGUGCGUAACACGUGGGCAAUCUGCCCUUCGAUGGGGAAUAACUCCGGGAAACCGAAGCUAAUUCCGCAUAACAUUCCUUGGACUUCGGUUCGAGGAUUCAAAGCCGUAAGGCGUCGAAGGAGGAGCCCGCGCCCGAUUAGCUAGUUGGUGAGGUAACGGCUCACCAAGGCAAUGAUCGGUAGCUGGUCUGAGAGGAUGGCCAGCCACACUGGAACUGAGACACGGUCCAGACUCCUACGGGAGGCAGCAGUGGGGAAUCUUGCGCAAUGGGCGAAAGCCUGACGCAGCGACGCCGCGUGGGGGAUGAAGCAUUUCGGUGUGUAAACCCCCUUCGACUGGGACGAAUGCCUCGCAAGAGGAGUGACGGUACCAGUAGAAGAAGCCCCGGCUAACUACGUGCCAGCAGCCGCGGUAAGACGUAGGGGGCCAGCGUUGUUCGGAAUUACUGGGUGUAAAGGGUUCGUAGGCGGUGUGGCAAGUCGGGAGUGAAAUCUAUGGGCUUAACUCAUAGGCUGCUUCCGAAACUGCUGUGCUUGAGUGUGGGAGAGGCGCGUGGAAUUGCAGGUGUAGCGGUGAAAUGCGUAGAUAUCUGCAGGAACACCCGUGGCGAAAGCGGCGCGCUGGACCACAACUGACGCUGAGGAACGAAAGCUAGGGGAGCAAACAGGAUUAGAUACCCUAGUAGUCC